rnacentral:misc_RNA from 1 species
AAAAUAACAUUAUCUUUUAUAAUACUCGAGCGUUAACUGAUUUUAAUAUAGAUGCAUAAUGGUGAAAGUAAAAAUGUAAAAGAUAAUGAGAGAAUAGUAAUUUGUGCGAUUGAUUGUACUCGAAAAGACGAUAGUUUAGUACGAUUUUCUAUAUCGAACUAAAAAAGAAGGUAGAAGGAAAAGAACUUUUACGCGUGAUACCAAAGGACAACUCGGAACAAAAAAUUUAAGGUUUUACACAUAGUGUCAUGUUUAACAGUAUAGUUAUUAACGUGAAAAGAAGAAUAAAUAUACUUACAGAUUGGACGAAUAGUAUCAGAAAGAAGAUAUUAACGAGACACGGACACCGGAGACGUAACUAAUAGACAGCAGAAGAGAAUGAAUAAAAGAUUUACACACAAUCUUGUAUUAUACUAUGAUAAAUUAUUAAAUUUUUCUU